GACGAACGCUGGCGGCGUGCUUAACACAUGCGAGUCGAACGGUGAAGCGCCUUCCUUUUUGGUGGGUGUGGAUGAGUGGCGAACGGGUGAGUAACACGUGAGUAACCUGCCCCCUUCUUCUGGAUAACCGCAUGAAAGUGUGGCUAAUACGGGAUAUUCUGGGUCUGUCGCAUGAUGGGUCUGGGAAAGAUAUUGUUUCGGUGGGGGAUGGGCUCGCGGCCUAUCAGCUUGUUGGUGGGGUGAUGGCCUACCAAGGCGGUGACGGGUAGCCGGCCUGAGAGGUGGGCCGUUCUGCUGGGGAUUGAGCCACGGCCCGCCUCCUACGGGAGGCAGCAGGGGGGAAUAUUCGACAGUGGGGGGCAUGCCGGAGCAGCGGCGCCGGGGUGAGGAUGGAGGCCUUCGGGUUGUGAACCUCUUUCGCCAGUGAAGCAGGCCUGCCUCGUUUGUGGGUGGGUUGACGGUAGCUGGAGAAGAAGCGCCGGCUAACUACGUG
rnacentral:rRNA from 1 species